rnacentral:rRNA from 1 species
GAUGAACGCUAGCGAUAGGCUUAACACAUGCCAGUCGAGGGGUAACGUGUUGGAAGCUUGCUUCCGAUGACGACGACCGGCGGAUGGGGGCGUAACGCGUAUGCAACUUGCCUCACAGUGGAGAAUAACCCGGAGAAAUCCGGACUAAUGUUCCAUACACCCUUAAGUAUUCCUGUACAUGAGAGGAAAGAUUUAUCGCUGUGAGCUAGGCAUGCGUCCUAUUAGGUAGGUGGUGAGGUAACGGCUCACCAAGCCGACGGUAGGUAGGGGUGCUGCGAGGCAGAUCCCCCACAUUGGGACUGAGACACGGCCCAAACUCCUACGGGAGGCAGCAGGUAGGAAUAUUGGUAAAUGGAGGAAACUCUGAACCAGCCAAGUCGCGUGAAGGAAGAAUGUCCUAAGGAUUGUAAACUUCUUUAGCGAGCGAGUAAGGACUUCCACGUGAUGGGAGUUUGAAAGUAGCUCGAGAAUAAGUAUCGGCUAACUCCGUG